UCCAUUUAUAUAUUCAUUAACUUGUAAUCCAGUUAUAUAUAUAUUAACCUGUAAUCUAUUUAUACAUUCAUUAACCUGUAAUCCACAUACGUCCUUUUCGUGAUAACCUCAAUAAUUCUUUUCGACUGCAUAUUAACAUUUCGACCAUAGAAGUCUAUUUCCAUGUCGGGCGCUGCGAUCUUCCGAAGAUCGCCGAAGUGCAACGAAGUUGUCCGAUUUAUUGCUACCCGUCACGAAGUUAUACUCCCUGACAUUAUGCAGCGUUUAUAUUGUUUGCGACUUAGAGAAUAGCAAAAAAUGAUUUAGAUGGCGCAGUUAAACGUCGUUAUUGUUAAUCGAGUUGAUUCCCUCCGUUAAAUCUAUGUAUCGAAUAAAAAUUAUCGCAAUGAAAUAAGUAAAUGGCUGCAGGACCAUUACAUCUUUCAGUGCAGUUUUGUGUAUAGAGUAUCGCGAGUAAAAUGUACGUGCUGUGUAACAAGUGCCACGAGUAUAUCCGGCCCGAGGGCGCACGAAUCGUUGGAACGGGGAAAGUGAAACGAUUUUCAGAAAGGAAACGAUGACACUCGUCGAAGAAUAAGAGAAGCAUACACGCGUAAAAGUUCCACGCGACAGUUACGUAAGGGUCGAAGGAAUACUGGCAAUACGCAAUCAAUACAUCUACAAAUCAUUCGAUCGCAAAGACAUUGGUCGUUU